AGCGGCGAACGGGUGAGUAACACGUGGGUGAUCUGCCCUGCACUUCGGGAUAAGCCUGGGAAACUGGGUCUAAUACCGGAUAUGACCUCCUAUCGCAUGGUGGGUGGUGGAAAGAUUUAUCGGUGCAGGAUGGGCCCGCGGCCUAUCAGCUUGUUGGUGGGGUAAUGGCCUACCAAGGCGACGACGGGUAGCCGACCUGAGAGGGUGACCGGCCACACUGGGACUGAGACACGGCCCAGACUCCUACGGGAGGCAGCAGUGGGGAAUAUUGCACAAUGGGCGAAAGCCUGAUGCAGCGACGCCGCGUGAGGGAUGGCGGCCUUCGGGUUGUAAACCUCUUUCAGCAGGGACGAAGCGCAAGUGACGGUACCUGCAGAAGAAGCACCGGCUAACUACGUGCCAGCAGCCGCGGUGAUACGUAGGGUGCAAGCGUUGUCCGGAAUUACUGGGCGUAAAGAGUUCGUAGGCGGUUUGUCGCGUCGUUUGUGAAAACCAGCAGCUCAACUGCUGGCUUGCAGGCGAUACGGGCAGACUUGAGUACUGCAGGGGAGACUGGAAUUCCUGGUGUAGCGGUGAAAUGCGCAGAUAUCAGGAGGAACACCGGUGGCGAAGGCGGGUCUCUGGGCAGUAACUGACGCUGAGGAACGAAAGCGUGGGUAGCGAACAGGAUUAGAUACCCUGGUAGUCCACGCCGUAAACGGUGGGCACUAG
rnacentral:rRNA from 1 species